rnacentral:tRNA from 1 species
UAGCUCAGUUGGUAGAGCAUGGUGUGUGCAACGCCAGCGUUGUGGGUUCGAUUCCCAU